rnacentral:other from 1 species
GUUCUACUGCGGCGUUGGUGACUGCCAAUAAUGUUUUAUGAUCUUGCUUUGUCUAUAAGGGAACCCAAUUGACUCCAGUGGCAGUAUACCGAGCUUGUACUCGGAAACUUUAAACUGGGGCAGAGGUGCCCACCUGGAUUCGUCCAGGUCAAAAACUGAGGUAAGACGGCGCUGCGGUGAACCC